rnacentral:rRNA from 1 species
AAUGAACGCUGGCGGCAGGCCUAACACAUGCAAGUCGAACGGAUCCUUCGGGAUUAGUGGCGGACGGGUGAGUAACGCGUGCGAACAUACCCAAAGGUACGGAAUGGCCUCGGGAAACAGGGUGUAAUACCGUAUGUACACGAAGUAGGAAAGAUUUAUCCCCUUUGGAUUGGCCCGCGUUGGAUUAGGGAGUUGUUGGGGUAAUGGCCUACCAAGCCGACGAUCCAUAGCUGGUUUGGGAGGUUGAUCAGCCACACUGGGACAUGAGACACGGCCCAGACUCCUACGGGAGGCAGCAGUGGGGAAUCUUAGACAAUGGGGGAAACCCUGAUCUAGCCAUGCCGCGUGAUCGAUGAAGGCCUUAGGGUUGUAAAGAUCUUUCAGGUGUGAAGAUAAUGUCUGUACCACCAGAAGAAGACCCGGCUAACUCCGUGCCAGCAGCCGCGGUAA